rnacentral:rRNA from 1 species
UACGGAGGGUGCGAACGUUAAUCGGAAUCACUGGGCGUAAAGCGCGCGUAGGCGGUUUGUUAAGUGGGAUGUGAAAUCCCCGGGCUUAACCUGGGAAUUGCAUUUCAAACUGGCCGACUAGAGUACGGUAGAGGGAGGUAGAAUUUCCUGUGUAGCGGUGAAAUGCGUAGAUAUAGGAAGGAAUACCAGUGGCGAAGGCGGCCUCCUAGAUCGAUACUGACGCUGAGGCGCGAAAGCGUGGGGAGCGAACAGG